UACGUAGGUGGCAAGCGUUGUCCGGAAUUACUGGGUGUAAAGGGAGCGCAGGCGGGAAGCCAAGUCAGCUGUGAAAACUACGGGCUUAACUUGUAGACUGCAGUUGAAACUGGUUUUCUUGAGUGAAGUAGAGGUUGGCGGAAUUCGGAGUGUAGCGGUGAAAUGCGUAGAUAUUCGGAGGAACACCGGUGGCGAAGGCGGCCAACUGGGCUUUAACUGACGCUGAGGCUCGAAAGUGUGGGGAGCAAACAGG
rnacentral:rRNA from 1 species